UUCCAGCACACAUGUGGUUAAAUCCCAGGUCUUUUGACAGCUGGCCAGUGGAGCGCAUGCGCCGAAAACGUUAGUGACUUGAAUAGGAGGGAACAUAGCAACCACCAAAUAACCUCGAGAGCGCUGCACAUCAUCUACCCAAAAAAUUAUGUCCAUCUCACCGUCUUCACUUUUUCGAAGGUCUCCGUUUUAUGGACCUUGAAUGGCGCUGGUCACCGUUCAGCGUUCGCCAACACCCAGCACUACCUCCAGCCCCUGCGUGUCGGAAACAGGCAGCGGCGAGGAGGACCGACACUCCCAGCCCCGGAGAACAAUCUGACGUCAAGUGAACGGACGUUUUCUUUAACCUGCAGCAAAAGUUUAUUUUUUAGACACUUUUGGUCUAGCCUUUUUCAGUGAUGUUUUGUCCUAUAAAUCAGGAAUUCCUGACAUAAUUAUACAUUGUUUA
ensembl:lncRNA